GGACUACCAGGGUUUCUAAUCCUGUUUGCUCCCCACGCUUUCGCGCCUCAGCGUCAGUAAUGAGCCGGUAUGUCGCCUUCGCCACUGGUGUUCUUCCGAAUAUCUACGAAUUUCACCUCUACACUCGGAGUUCCACAUACCUCUCUCAUACUCAAGAUCGCCAGUAUCAAAGGCAGUUCCAGGGUUGAGCCCUGGGAUUUCACCUCUGACUUAACGAUCCGCCUACGCGCCCUUUACGCCCAGUAAUUCCGAGCAACGCUAGCCCCCUUCGUAUUACCGCGGCGGCUGGCAC
rnacentral:misc_RNA from 1 species